UACGGAGGGUGCAAGCGUUAUCCGGAUUCACUGGGUUUAAAGCGCGCGUAGGCGGACAUUUAAGUCAGGGGUGAAAUGCCGGGGCUCAACCUCGGAACUGCCUUUGAUACUGGGUGUCUGGAGUUCGGGAGAGGUGAGUGGAAUUCCGAGUGUAGAGGUGAAAUUUCGUAGAUAUUCGGAGGAACACCAGAAGCGAAGGCGGCUCACUGGCCCGAUACUGACGCUGAGGCGCGAAAGCGUGGGGAGCAAACAGG
rnacentral:rRNA from 1 species